rnacentral:sRNA from 1 species
GGGAUCCUCCUCCAUCUAACCCUCCGCGUCCUGACCCGGCCCUGGGCGGAAGGGAUGUCUGCGCCGCUGGGAAGCAGUGCAAUGAUGAAAGGGCAUCGGUCAGGUCCGGCCUGCUACCCUUGGAGGGGGAAGGGAGCUUGCUGCCUCACUCCACUUUCCAGUUGAGAAAGUUGAGGUGCCCAGAGGAGAGGUGUGCCCUGAACCUGCAGGAGGGACUGAGGUGUCUAGCAUGCCAACCAUCCCAGCUGGAAUACUGGGUUGGAGCUGAACUUCAAGGAGCCUGACCCCAGGCAUGCUUGGAUGACCACCUCUACCAUCAAGACCUGACACAGUGCAAAAGGCGAAGUUCUUCUGUGUUGUGCAGGGGGAAGCUGAACCAUUGCAACAGCAUGGGCGCCCUGGAGAUGCACGAGCGGGUGGAGCAGCUGAAGCAGAGCAUCCACCGCGUGCACCUCUACUCCCGGGGCAAGGAUCAACCUCUCCCCGUGCUGGGCCCUGGGAGGGGUCUGAGCCCAGUGCAGCCAGGCCGAGGGCUAGUUGGGCCACCUUUCCGAGAGAGAGAGCCCUCAUUGCUCACCUUGACACCAAGAAGACGAGAAGGAAGCCAAGACAGAAGAAACCAGAACCCAACCUCUUAUGGGACCGGUUGACCCCCCAUAUCUGCCACCAACCCUGCUGCCACCUCUGCCACUACCAACACCAUGGCCUCCGUGGUGACCCCAUCAGCCCUUGGCACCUGGGGCUGCCUUGCUUGCCUACAGCCAAGUACAUUACCUGUGCUGAAUACACUCACUUUUAUGGUGGCAAGAAGCCAGGUAAGGCAUGCAGUCUUUCUGUUCCCUGUUGGGGGAGUGGUAUUAAGGAACAGUGUCUUCAGGAUACAGUGAGCUGUAAAAAUAGACAACAAGAACAUGGAAACUAUGGUAGACAAAUGGUCUGAGGACACAGUUCACGAAAGAGAAAUAUAUUCAAGAAAGAAGAACAUGCUUCAUCUUAGUGGUGAUUUUUGUAAAAUGUAAUUUAAAAUAUUCCCCGAUGCUGGGAGCUAAGUAAAAAAUAAGUAAGUAAAUAAAAUACAAAAUUACAUGUA